UACGUAGGCAGCAAGCGUUGUUCGGAAUUACUGGGCGUAAAGAGUGUGUAGGCGGUGCUCUAAGUUCGGGGUGAAAUCUCCUGGCUCAACUGGGAGGGUGCGCCGGAAACUGGGGUGCUGGAGCGCGGGAGAGGAAAGCGGAAUUCCUGGUGUAGCGGUGAAAUGCGUAGAUAUCAGGAGGAACACCGGCGGUGAAGACGGCUUUCUGGACCGUAGCUGACGCUGAGACACGAAAGCGUGGGUAGCAAACAGG
rnacentral:rRNA from 1 species